rnacentral:rRNA from 1 species
GACGAACGCUGGCGGCGUGCUUAACACAUGCAAGUCGAACGGAAAGGCCCUGCUUUUGUGGGGUGCUCGAGUGGCGAACGGGUGAGUAACACGUGAGUAACCUGCCCUUGACUUUGGGAUAACUUCAGGAAACUGGGGCUAAUACCGGAUAGGAGCUCCUGCUGCAUGGUGGGGGUUGGAAAGUUUCGGCGGUUGGGGAUGGACUCGCGGCUUAUCAGCUUGUUGGUGGGGUAGUGGCUUACCAAGGCUUUGACGGGUAGCCGGCCUGAGAGGGUGACCGGCCACCUUGGGACUGAGAUACGGCCCAGACUGCUACGGGAGGCAGCAGUGGGGAAUAUUGCACAAUGGGCGGAAGCCUGAUGCAGCAACGCCGCGUGCGGGAUGACGGCCUUCGGGUUGUAAACCGCUUUCGCCUGUGACGAAGCGUGAGUGACGGUAAUGGGUAAAGAAGCACCGGCUAACUACGUG